rnacentral:rRNA from 1 species
GACGAACGCUGGCGGCGUGCCUAAUACAUGCAAGUAGAACGCUGAAGAGAGGAGCUUGCUCUUCUUGGAUGAGUUGCGAACGGGUGAGUAACGCGUAGGUAACCUGCCUGGUAGCGGGGGAUAACUAUUGGAAACGAUAGCUAAUACCGCAUAAAAUGGAUUAUCGCAUGAUAAUCCAUUGAAAGGUGCAAAUGCAUCACUACCAGAUGGACCUGCGUUGUAUUAGCUAGUUGGUGGGGUAACGGCUCACCAAGGCGACGAUACAUAGCCGACCUGAGAGGGUGAUCGGCCACACUGGGACUGAGACACGGCCCAGACUCCUACGGGAGGCAGCAGUAGGGAAGCUUCGGCAAUGGACGGAAGUCUGACCGAGCAACGCCGCGUGAGUGAAGAAGGUUUUCGGAUCGUAAAGCUCUGUUGUAAGAGAAGAACGAGUGUGAGAGUGGAAAGUUCACACUGUGACGGUAACUUACCAGAAAGGGACGGCUAACUACGUG